UUUUACAGAGUCUGGUAAGCACUCAAUAGAAAACAUGAAACAACUUGCUCUAAACCUCAAAUACAUUUGAAAACGUAGUUAGAUUUCCGUUGUAAAUAGUGGGAUUCACUUCGUAAAGCCUCUUGUUUCUUAUCAGAGGGCAACUCUAUAGCUAAUAGAACGAUGUUUGGUCACAUGCUUCUUGGGGAUGCAAAGAUAACAACAGAUAUGGAUACGAAAGAAGUCAAAUGAAUGCAUUCUCGAUUCAAUAGAAACACUUGACUUUGAUAAUUGACUUCCAGGGGUGCUCUUAAUGCUGCCAACAACUACAAUACUAAUGCUUUAAAAAUAUUCCACCAGAUAAAGAACUUAGAAGUCAAUGUACUAAGGGCAAGGUAACAUUUAGGACUGCAAAGUUACUGCACCUGUAGGACACUACAGCACAUAUGUAAAAAAAAAGUAUUUAGGUGGAGAUGUUUACAAAAGUAAGAAGUCUUGAAGAGGAAAGAUUGAAAGGCUGGUAGGUGUUUGGCGUCGCGAACGUCACCAAGAUGCUGCAUGAUUUGCCACCACCUCACCGCGAAGAUUGUGUGAAUUCCCUGGCGUAUGAGGCGGAUGCGCGCGUUCAAGAUCCCGUGUAUGGUUGUGUAGGUGCCAUAUCGAUCCUUCAGCAGCAGGUCUUUCCUCAUCCUUCCUCCACAUAUUUGACAACCCACUUCUUCCUGAUUCAUAAACUUCAAACUUUCAAAAUACCCUCAUCAGAAUGCACAGUUCUCACGUAUGACCUCAUUUUCAUCGUGAGAUUAUUAGCUUUUGCACGAAUUUAUAGUUCGCCUGGUUCUAUAUGUAAAACACCUGAGGAAAGUGUCGCUUCAUCAGUACCUUUCGUUUGGAAGGAUCCGGUGAAAUUAGCUGAUGGCUGAAAGAGGCUUUACUUCACUUGAUUCGUGCAACUUGUUUCACAUGCUUCGGCUGCAAGAAUUUACCGUUCGUGAAAAAACUGGGAGCCCAAGCGUCACCAAGAAUUCUCUAGGGCUGCCUUCUCAGCAGCCCUAGUAACUUGACAAAGCUUGUUUGAACGCAUUCUGUUCAAACGACUUCAUAAAGGAUUGCCCUUAAAAAUCUUGUUAUGCAAAAACUAGCAAUGUCAAACCUCCAUCACCUAACCCUCACUUUUACAUUUAAUUCAUGGGCAAGACAUAAAAAAAAAUUGAAAACAAUCACAAGGCUUGCAGAAACGCACAAACUAGGUUGGGUUCAAGUGAUUCUGGUAGUAGCUGGUAUUACACGAGACAUUUGAGUGAAUGGGAUGGUAUGUCCUUGUAGACUUGAGUCCUAUAUAAGGGAAAAAUGAAAAGAAUGUUGAACGCAGGAGUACAGGUGGCGCAACUACAAGCCCACCUAGCACUGGCAACCUCGGAGAUAUCAAGGCUUCGCGAGACCUUAGCCGUUGCUGCCGCAGCCUCCACCACCUCCA
rnacentral:lncRNA from 1 species